rnacentral:rRNA from 1 species
AUUGAACGCUAGCUGGAUGCCUUACACAUGCAAGUCGAACGAGCGGCGGACGGGUGAGUAAUGUCUGGGAAACUGCCUGAUGGAGGGGGAUAACUACUGGAAACGGUAGCUAAUACCGCAUACCAUCAGAUGUGCCCAGAUGGGAUUAGCUAGUAGGUGGGGUAACGGCUCACAUAGGCGACGAUCCCUAGCUGGUCUGAGAGGCUGACCAGCCACACUGGAACGGAGACACGGUCCAGACUCCUACGGGAGGCAGCAGUGGGGAAUAUUGCACAAUGGGCGCAAGCCUGAUGCAGCCAUGCCGCGGGUGUGAAGAAGGCCUACGGGUUGUAAAGCACUUUCAGCGGGGAGGCGUUACCCGCAGAAGAAGCACCGGCUAACUCCGUGCCAGCCGCCGCGGUAAUAC